rnacentral:rRNA from 1 species
GUAGUUAGCCGGGGCUUUCUUACAGGGUACCGUCACUUCUUCGUCCCCUGCGACAGAGGUUUACAAUCCGAAAACCUUCUUCCCUCACGCGGCGUUGCUGGGUCAGGCUUGCGCCCAUUGCCCAAUAUUCCCCACUGCUGCCUCCCGUAGGAGUCUGGACCGUGUCUCAGUUCCAGUGUGGCCGAUCAGCCUCUCAGCUCGGCUACCCAUCGUCGGCUUGGUGGGCUGUUAUCUCACCAACUACCUAAUGGGACGCGAACCCCUCUAAAAGCGAUAAAUCUUUGACCUCUUCCCGAUGCCGGGUUGUGGUCUUAUGCGGUAUUAGCAGUUGUUUCCACCUGUUAUUCCCCACUCUUAGGCAGGUUGUUCACGCGUUACUCACCCGUGCGCCACUAGAAUUAUCAAUUCCAUCCGAAAACUUCCUUAAAUAAUCCCCGUUCGACUUGCAUGUGUUAGGUCACGCCGCCACGCGUCGUCCUCGAGCACANANACAACUACUACUACGAGAGGCGGCGCGACGACGACG